AGUGAAUGUAUUUUAGAAGAAUUUCAUCCACUGUAGAUUGUUUCAGGAUCUACAUAUUCGGAAGUCAUGCACCUUUCACAUCUCAUUUGGAUCAUUCACUUUAUUACCUAUCAUGACAUGGAACACAGGCCUUCAUUCAGCUCAUAUCCGAAGACAUACUUAUUGGUAGGUUGCUUGAAUGUGUGACGAAG